rnacentral:rRNA from 1 species
AACGUAGGAGACAAACGUUAUCCGGAGUUACUGGGCGUAAAGGGCGUGUAGGUGGUUUCGUAAGUCUGGCGUGAAAUAUCUCGGCUUAACCGAGGCAGGUCGUCGGAUAUUGCGGGACUAGAGGACGGUAGAGGCGUGUGGAAUUCCGGGUGUAGUGGUGAAAUGCGUAGAGAUCCGGAGGAACACCAGUGGCGAAGGCGACACGCUGGGCCGUACCUGACACUGAUGCGCGACAGCAUGGGGAGCAAACAGG